rnacentral:tRNA from 1 species
GGUUCCAUAGUGUAGUGGUUAACACGCCUGCUUUAUAGGCAGAGGGUCCUGGGUUCGUGCCCCAGUGGAGCCA